rnacentral:rRNA from 1 species
UGAGGAAUAUUGGUCAAUGGGUGCAAGCCUGAACCAGCCAUCCCGCGUGAAGGACGACUGCCCUAUGGGUUGUAAACUUCUUUUGUAUAGGGAUAAACCUACCCUCGUGAGGGUAGCUGAAGGUACUAUACGAAUAAGCACCGGCUAACUCCGUGCCAGCAGCCGCGGUAAUACGGAGGGUGCAAGCGUUAUCCGGAUUUAUUGGGUUUAAAGGGUCCGUAGGCGGACUUAUAAGUCAGUGGUGAAAGCCUGUCGCUUAACGAUAGAACUGCCAUUGAUACUGUAAGUCUUGAGUAUAUUUGAGGUAGCUGGAAUAAGUAGUGUAGCGGUGAAAUGCAUAGAUAUUACUUAGAACACCAAUUGCGAAGGCAGGUUACCAGAUAUAACUGACGCUGAGGGGCGGAAGCGUGGGGAGCGAACAGGAUUAGAUACCCUGGUAGUCCACGCCGUAAACGAUGCUAACUCGUUUUUGGGCCUUUAGGGUUCAGAGACCAAGCGAAAGUNAUAAGUUAGCCACCUGGGGAGUACGCUCGCAAGAGUG